UACGUAGGGGGCUAGCGUUGUCCGGAAUCAUUGGGGCGUAAAGAGCGUGUAGGCGGCCCGGUAAGUCCGCUGUGAAAGUCCAGGGCUCAACCCUGGGGAUGCCGGUGGAUACUGUCGGGCUCGAGUCCGGAAGAGGAGUGUGGAAUUCCUGGUGUAGCGGUGAAAUGCGCAGAUAUCAGGAGGAACACCAAUGGCGAAGGCAGAC
rnacentral:rRNA from 1 species